rnacentral:piRNA from 1 species
UGCUCUGGAGUCCAGUCAUGAGUGU